GACGAACGCUGGCGGCGUGCUUAACACAUGCAAGUCGAACGGAAAGGCCCUGCUUUUGUGGGGUGCUCGAGUGGCGAACGGGUGAGUAACACGUGAGUAACCUGCCCUUGACUUUGGGAUAACUUCAGGAAACUGGGGCUAAUACCGGAUAGGAGCUCCUGCUGCAUGGUGGGGGUUGGAAAGUUUCGGCGGUUGGGGAUGGACUCGCGGCUUAUCAGCUUGUUGGUGGGGUAGUGGCUUACCAAGGCUUUGACGGGUAGCCGGCCUGAGAGGGUGACCGGACACCUUGCGACUGAGAUACGGCCCAGACUCCUACGGGAGGCAGCAGUGGGGAAUAUUGCACAAUGGGCGGACGCCUGAUGCAGCAACGCCGCGUGCGGGAUGACGGCCUUCGGGUUGUAAACCGCUUUCGCCUGUGACGAAGCGUGAGUGACGGUAAUGGGUAAAGAAGCACCGGCUAACUACGUG
rnacentral:rRNA from 1 species